UGGGGAAUAUUGCACAAUGGGGGAAACCCUGAAGCAGCGACGCCGCGUGAGCGAAGAAGGUUUUCGAAUCGUAAAGCUCUGUCCUAUGAGAAGAUAAUGACGGUAUCAUAGGAGGAAGCCCCGGCUAAAUACGUGCCAGCAGCCGCGGUAAUACGUAUGGGGCGAGCGUUGUCCGGAAUUAUUGGGCGUAAAGGGUACGUAGGCGGUCUAUUAAGUCAGGUGUGAAAGCGUGAGGCUUAACCUCAUUAAGCACUUGAAACUGAUAGACUUGAGUGAAGGAGAGGAAAGUGGAAUUCCUAGUGUAGCGGUGAAAUGCGUAGAUAUUAGGAGGAAUACCGGUGGCGAAGGCGACUUUCUGGACUUUUACUGACGCUCAGGUACGAAAGCGUGGGGAGCAAACAGG
rnacentral:rRNA from 1 species